rnacentral:lncRNA from 1 species
GCCCAGGCCGUGAGAGGUUGCUCCAGUCUGUGCUCUCUGACCGUAGUCAGUAGUCACGGCGUUAGAUUUUUGCGGUUUUUGAUCUGGAAGCCACACAUCCUUAGCUUAAUUUCCACGUAUCUUCCAGACCCAGCCACCAACGUCAGGGCAGGUGUGCUUUUUUUUUCCCGAGGCAGAGCAUCUGCCCCAUCCCCCAAAAUUGUCUCUAGGCGUCCG